AGCUUUGCGCAGUGGCAGUAUCAUAGCCAAUGAGGUUAAUCCGAGGCACGAUUAUUGCUAAAAUAAAAAUGAAAAUAAAUAAAAAUGAAAAUUUAGGGCAUUUGAAAAUG